rnacentral:tRNA from 1 species
CUUGUCGAUAUGUCCGAGUGGUUAAGGAGAUAGACUUGAAAUCUAUUGGGCUACGCCCGCGCAGGUUCGAACCCUGCUGUCGACGA